UACGGGGGGGGUAAGCGUUGUUCGGAAUUACUGGGCGUAAAGGGCUCGUAGGCGGCCAACUAAGUCAUACGUGAAAUCCCUCAGCUUAACUGGGGAACUGCGUGUGAUACUGGAUGGCUUGGAUUUGGGAGAGGGAUGCGGAAUUCCAGGUGUAGCGGUGAAAUGCGUAGAUAUCUGGAGGAACACCGGUGGCGAAGGCGGUUCUCUGGGCCUGUACUGACGCUGAGGAGCGAAAGCGUGGGGAGCGAACAGG
rnacentral:rRNA from 1 species